AGGACGAACGCUGGCGGCGUGCUUAACACAUGCAAGUCGAGCGGAAAGGCCCUUCGGGGUACUCGAGCGGCGAACGGGUGGGUAACACGUGAGCAACCUGCCCUUAGCUCCGGGAUAGCUCCGGGAAACCGGAAUUAAUACCGGAUACGACCACGGCCGACAUCUGCUGUGGUGGAAAGGAUUCCGGCUAAGGAUGGGCUCGCGGCCUAUCAGCUAGUUGGUGGAGUAACGGCCCACCAAGGCGACGACGGGUA
rnacentral:rRNA from 1 species